rnacentral:rRNA from 1 species
UACGGAGGGUGCAAGCGUUAUCCGGAAUCAUUGGGUUUAAAGGGUCCGCAGGCGGUCUAAUAAGUCAGUGGUGAAAGCCUACAGCUCAACUGUAGAACUGCCAUUGAUACUGUUAGACUUGAAUUCGGUCGAAGUGGCGGAAUGUGACAUGUAGCGGUGAAAUGCUUAGAUAUGUCACAGAACACCGAUAGCGAAGGCAGCUCACUAGGCCUGGGAUUGACGCUCAGGGACGAAAGCGUGGGGAGCAAACAGG